rnacentral:lncRNA from 1 species
AGAUCUCACACGUAGUGGCAAUGGCUAAAUAGGGACCGAGAGCGUAAACGUAAUAGGCUAACUACUCAAAAAAAAUAUGGCUAAAAUAAGAGCAUGACACACAACAUUUACAUUUACAUUCAUCAUCAAUAUUCACAAUAUGCUACAUAAUGUAUGCAUCUCUUUUUUCAGGUCAAUCUUAGGCGACAACUCUUUAGGACGCUCAACGUACCUCCAAUGGCUUAACUAGUUCCCAAACUUGAGGGCUAAGCGCCAAUUACAACUCGAAAU